AUGCUGGAGUCACCUACAAAAAUCUCAAGCUAUCAAAGAAAUGCCCAAGAAAAGGAAACCAUCACCAAGUACUCUCCGGUGCAGUACAAAUCAAUACUAGUUGCUCAUGCAGAUGGAAGAAACAAGGGGAAAACAUUGGAAAGGGAGUUUGCAAUCACGAUGAACAAGUUCUCAAGCUAUAUGUGGCAGCCAUUACAGGGACCUUCAGAUGAGGGGCAAGGGAGGAGAGGGGCGUGGGGAGAAGAAGCAGAAGGGCGUGGGAACGGCGCGUCGAGAGCGCUCCCUCUCGCUGGGUGGAUGAGAGACGCAAGAGACGGUGGACCCUCUCACUUUCCAAAUCUGGACAAGGGGACCGAAACCUACUUAAUACGGGAGGCUGCCAGGAGGCGCUAG
rnacentral:rRNA from 1 species